rnacentral:rRNA from 1 species
GAUGAACGCUGGCGGCGUGCCUAAUACAUGCAAGUCGAGCGAACAGACAAGGAGCUUGCUCCUUUGACGUUAGCGGCGGACGGGUGAGUAACACGUGGGUAACCUACCUAUAAGACUGGGAUAACUUCGGGAAACCGGAGCUAAUACCGGAUAAUAUUUCGAACCGCAUGGUUCGAUAGUGAAAGAUGGUUUUGCUAUCACUUAUAGAUGGACCCGCGCCGUAUUAGCUAGUUGGUAAGGUAACGGCUUACCAAGGCGACGAUACGUAGCCGACCUGAGAGGGUGAUUGGCCACACUGGAACUGAGACACGGUCCAGACUCCUACGGGAGGCAGCAGUAGGGAAUCUUCCGCAAUGGGCGAAAGCCUGACGGAGCAACGCCGCGUGAGUGAUGAAGGUCUUCGGAUCGUAAAACUCUGUUAUUAGGGAAGAACAUACGUGUAAGUAACUAUGCACGUCUUGACGGUACCUAAUCAGAAAGCCACGGCUAACUACGUGCCAGCAGCCGCGGUAAUACGUAGGUGGCAAGCGUUAUCCAGAAUUAUUGGGCGUAAAGCGCGCGUAGGCGGUUUUUUAAGUCUGAUGUGAAAGCCCACGGCUCAACCGUGGAGGGUCAUUGGAAACUGGAAAACUUGAGUGCAGAAGAGGAAAGUGGAAUUCCAUGUGUAGCGGUGAAAUGCGCAGAGAUAUGGAGGAACACCAGUGGCGAAGGCGACUUUCUGGUCUGUAACUGACGCUGAUGUGCGAAAGCGUGGGGAUCAAACAGGAUUAGAUACCCUGGCAGUCCACGCCGUAAACGAUGAGUGCUAAGUGUUAGGGGGUUUCCGCCCCUUAGUGCUGCAGCUAACGCAUUAAGCACUCCGCCUGGGGAGUACGACCGCAAGGUUGAAACUCAAAGGAAUUGACGGGGACCCGCACAAGCGGUGGAGCAUGUGGUUUAAUUCGAAGCAACGCGAAGAACCUUACCAAAUCUUGACAUCCUUUGACAACUCUAGAGAUAGAGCUUUCCCCUUCGGGGGACAAAGUGACAGGUGGUGCAUGGUUGUCGUCAGCUCGUGUCGUGAGAUGUUGGGUUAAGUCCCGCAACGAGCGCAACCCUUAAGCUUAGUUGCCAUCAUUAAGUUGGGCACUCUAAGUUGACUGCCGGUGACAAACCGGAGGAAGGUGGGGAUGACGUCAAAUCAUCAUGCCCCUUAUGAUUUGGGCUACACACGUGCUACAAUGGACAAUACAAAGGGCAGCGAAACCGCGAGGUCAAGCAAAUCCCAUAAAGUUGUUCUCAGUUCGGAUUGUAGUCUGCAACUCGACUACAUGAAGCUGGAAUCGCUAGUAAUCGUAGAUCAGCAUGCUACGGUGAAUACGUUCCCGGGUCU